CACAGGAAAUUUUCUAUUUUUUUCUCUUUUCUCUCUUUUCUUUUCUCUCUGUUCUUUCUUUCUCGACUUCUCUUUUGGCGAUUGAAACCGUCCUCACGGCAUCUCCUCCGGCUUCUCUGGUCUCCUCCGGCUUCUCUGAUCUCUUCACGGCGUCUCUUUUUCUCCAUUGAGAAUCACAGAAGAGAUUGAGAUGUCAACACCAGCAAGGAAGAGACUUGUGAGGGAUUCCAGGAGGUUGCUGCAAGAUCCUCCUGCUGGUAUCAGUGGUGCUCCUCUAACAACAACAUCUUGCUCUGGAACGCUGUCAUCUUCGGUCCAGAUGAUACGCCUAGGGAUGGAGUUGAACAGAACUUACAGAACCAAUGGAGUCCCAUCUAUGUAUCUCUUUCUUUGUCGACAAAGCCGUUGCUAUCAUGUUGGAUAUGAAGGUUGAUAUCAUAUAAGAUGUUCAACAGAAGUCAAAAGGCGUUCAUUCAAAUCAAAAGAAGUCACGAGAUUUGUUGUAUAUAUUUGUUGUAUAUGCAAUUCACGAGUAUUGUCUGUAUGUUAGAUACAUGUUGGUUUUGGUUCUUCUCUCCUUCUCUAUAUAAAGUUGUGAUUCACCAAGCAUUUUA